UCGCUGUGUCUGGCAAGAUGUUAUGGGAAUGGCAUGGAUUCAACCACACCCCAUAUUCUAGUCUUUAAUACUGGAUCAUAACUAAAAAAAAUACUUAUAUGAAAGUGACAUGUUUGUCAAGUGUGGAAAACAUCCGACUCGAAAUGUUAUCUGCAUUUAACCCAUCCCACUGAGUAGAAAACAUACGGACUUCAAGUCUUCAGGUUACAAACCCAUUCUCUAACAUCGAGGCUGCGAUGGACUACUGAUCUGCAUUCAGAGAUGAAAGCUGGAAUUUUGUAUGCAAUUUCAAGGGGACAACCUGUUGCAAAUGUUUUGGAGGAUUAAACCCUAGGGAGAAUUAUUUCCCAUUGAGAGACGACGUUGAGGUUAACGACUUAGGGCCUGUUGCACGUCAACCUCAGAUUUCUGUGGAAUGUGAAGAAAAUCCUGUGGUUAAAAACGGACUAGUGAUAUUCGACAAGGAGACGUUUCCGGUUCAUGUCAGAGUAGAAGAUCAUGCUAAAGAUGAAGGAUGAUUAUUCAAGACAUUAUUUAAAAUUGAGUAAUCCCACAUGCAUUAAAAUAUUAUGAAAAGUGAAAACUGAAUUAAAAUUCAAAACAUUUGA